UACAGGGGGUGCAAACGUUGCUCGGAAUUAUUGGGCGUAAAGCGCGUGUAGGCGGCUUGGCAAGUCGGGUGUGAAAGCCCUCAGCUCAACUGAGGAAGUGCGCCCGAAACUGCUUUGCUUGAGUGCUGGAGAGGGUCGCGGAAUUCCCCAAGUAGAGGUGAAAUUCGUAGAUAUGGGGAGGAACACCGGUGGCGAAGGCGGCGACCUGGACAGUAACUGACGCUGAGACGCGAAAGCGUGGGUAGCAAACAGG
rnacentral:rRNA from 1 species